CCUACGGGAGGCAGCAGUGGGGAAUAUUGCACAAUGGGCGCAAGCCUGAUGCAGCAACGCCGCGUGAGGGACGACGGCCUUCGGGUUGUAAACCUCUUUUAGUAGGGAAGAAGCGAAAGUGACGGUACCUGCAGAAAAAGCACCGGCUAACUACGUGCCAGCAGCCGCGGUAAUACGUAGGGUGCAAGCGUUAUCCGGAAUUAUUGGGCGUAAAGAGCUCGUAGGCGGUUUGUCGCGUCUGCUGUGAAAACUGGAGGCUCAACCUCCAGCCUGCAGUGGGUACGGGCAAACUAGAGUGCGGUAGGGGAGAUUGGAAUUCCUGGUGUAGCGGUGGAAUGCGCAGAUAUCAGGAGGAACACCGAUGGCGAAGGCAGAUCUCUGGGCCGUAACUGACGCUGAGGAGCGAAAGCAUGGGGAGCGAACAGGAUUAGAUACCCUGGUAGUCCAUGCCGUAAACGUUGGGCGCUAGAUGUGGGGACCAUUCCACGGUUUCCGUGUCGCAGCUAACGCAUUAAGCGCCCCGCCUGGGGAUACGGCCGCAAGGCUAAAACNCAAAGGAUUGACGG
rnacentral:rRNA from 1 species